GUGUGAGGUGUCUUGGAUAUGGUGAAGUAUGUAUAGAGGUUGUGAGUAGUCAAUAAAAGAUUGGUCUCUCCUAAUAAAGGGAACGAACAACCUAUUUGAUUUCAUGGGUUGAUGAUUCUGAAAAUCUUUGACCAAAGUAGGAUGAUAAUUAGAAAUAAAUUUUUAAUGUAUAUCAUCAACUGAAUCAUCAUCUUUUAAAUGAGAUACAUUUAGA
rnacentral:lncRNA from 1 species